GUUUGCUCAGUGGAGCCAAUCCUACCCUGGGUUUGCUAAGGAUUCUUGGAAGACUACGCUUCUUUUGAGGGUGAAGGAAAAGCUGAAAGCCAAAGAACUUGAAGAGGAUGAUCUUACAUAA